rnacentral:rRNA from 1 species
GGUUAAGCGAACAAGCGUACACGGUGGAUGCCCUGGCAGUCAGAGGCGAUGAAGGACGUGCUAAUCUGCGAAAAGCGCCGGUAAGGUGAUAUGAACCGUUAUAACCGGCGAUGUCCGAAUGGGGAAACCCGGUGCACUUCGGUGCAUCAUCGUUAGCUGAAUACAUAGGCUAACGAGGCGAACCGGGGGAACUGAAACAUCUAAGUACCCCGAGGAAAAGAAAUCAACCGAGAUUCCCCCAGUAGCGGCGAGCGAACGGGGAACAGCCCAGAGCCUGAAUCAGCUUGUGUGUCAGUGGAACGGUCUGGAAAGGCCGGCGAUACAGGGUGACAGCCCCGUACACGAAGGCACACAGGCUGUGAGCUCGAUGAGUAGGGCGGGACACGUGAUAUCCUGUCUGAAGAUGGGGGGACCAUCCUCCAAGGCUAAAUACUCCUGACUGACCGAUAGUGAACCAGUACCGUGAGGGAAAGGCGAAAAGAACCCCGGCGAGGGGAGUGAAACAGAACCUGAAACCGUGUACGUACAAGCAGUGGGAGCCUUCGUAAGAGGGUGACUGCGUACCUUUUGUAUAAUGGGUCAGCGACUUAUAUUCUGUAGCAAGGUUAACCGUAUAGGGGAGCCGAAGGGAAACCGAGUCUUAACCGGGCGUUAAGUUGCAGGGUAUAGACCCGAAACCCGGUGAUCUAGCCAUGGGCAGGUUGAAGGUUGGGUAACACUAACUGGAGGACCGAACCGACUAAUGUUGAAAAAUUAGCGGAUGACCUGUGGCUGGGGGUGAAAGGCCAAUCAAACCGGGAGAUAGCUGGUUCUCCCCGAAAGCUAUUUAGGUAGCGCCUCGUGAACUCAUCUCCGGGGGUAGAGCACUGUUUCGGCUAGGGGGCCAUCCCGGCUUACCAACCCGAUGCAAACUGCGAAUACCGGAGAAUGUUAUCACGGGAGACACACGGCGGGUGCUAACGUCCGUCGUGAAGAGGGAAACAACCCAGACCGCCAGCUAAGGUCCCAAAGUCAUGGUUAAGUGGGAAACGAUGUGGGAAGGCCCAGACAGCCAGGAUGUUGGCUUAGAAGCAGCCAUCAUUUAAAGAAAGCGUAAUAGCUCACUGGUCGAGUCGGCCUGCGCGGAAGAUGUAACGGGGCUAAACCAUGCACCGAAGCUGCGGCAGCGACGCUUAUGCGUUGUUGGGUAGGGGAGCGUUCUGUAAGCCUGUGAAGGUGUGCUGUGAGGCAUGCUGGAGGUAUCAGAAGUGCGAAUGCUGACAUAAGUAACGAUAAAGCGGGUGAAAAGCCCGCUCGCCGGAAGACCAAGGGUUCCUGUCCAACGUUAAUCGGGGCAGGGUGAGUCGACCCCUAAGGCGAGGCCGAAAGGCGUAGUCGAUGGGAAACAGGUUAAUAUUCCUGUACUUGGUGUUACUGCGAAGGGGGGACGGAGAAGGCUAUGUCGGCCGGGCGACGGUUGUCCCGGUUUAAGCGUGUAGGCUGACUUUCCAGGCAAAUCCGGAAGGUUAAGGCUGAGGCGUGAUGACGAGGCAC